rnacentral:rRNA from 1 species
CUAACGGCUGAACCAGCAACUUGGAGGAAUGUAUAGCUACGGCUAAUUGUGUAUAACUACACGAUAUCGACUCUGUCGAAUAAAAUUCUGGAUAAAUUAUGAUAAUGACAUUUUUUACCCAUGUGUCUUGACCAAAUUGUGUGCCAGCAGUCGCGGUAAUACAUAGAAGACUAGUGUUAUUCAUCUUUAAUAGGUUUAAAGGGUACCUAGACGGUAGAUCAAGCCCUAGACGGGACUAAUUUGCUAGAGUUACUUAUGAGGGGGCUUUAAAGUACUAAUGGUGUAGAGAUAAAAUUUUGUAAUACCAUUUUUCGUAAAGAAAAGUUAUGGCACUGGUAAAGGUGAAAGCAUCCCCCUAUGUGA